GACGAACGCUGGCGGCGUGCUUAACACAUGCAAGUCGAACGGAAAGGCCCUGCUUUUGUGGGGUGCUCGAGUGGCGAACGGGUGAGUAACACGUGAGUAACCUGCCCUUGACUUUGGGAUAACUUCAGGAAACUGGGGCUAAUACCGGAUAGGAGCUCCUGCUGCAUGGUGGGGGUUGGAAAGUUUCGGCGGUUGGGGAUGGACUCGCGGCUUAUCAGCUUGUUGGUGGGGUAGUGGCUUACCAAGGCUUUGACGGGUAGCCGGCCUGAGCUGGUGACCGGCCACAUUGGGACUGAGUUACGGCCCAGACUCCUACGGGAGGCAGCAGUGGGGAAUAUUGCACAAUGGGCGGAAGCCUGAUGCAGCAACGCCGCGUGCGGGAUGACGGCCUUCGGGUUGUAAACCGCUUUCGCCUGUGACGAAGCGUGAGUGACGGUAAUGGGUAAAGAAGCACCGGCUAACUACGUG
rnacentral:rRNA from 1 species